rnacentral:misc_RNA from 1 species
UCUCCGUUGGUGAACCAGCGGAGGGAUCAUUACCGAGUUAUCAACUCCCAAACCCCUGUGAACAUACCCAACGUUGCUUCGGCGGGACCGCCCCGGCGCCCUCGGCGUCCCGGAACCAGGCGCCCGCCGGAGGACCCAAACUCUUGUUUAAACCAUAGUGGCAUAUUCUGAGUCUCACAAGAAAAAUGAAUCAAAACUUUCAACAACGGAGCGCGGGGCUCUGGCAUCGAGGAAGAACGCAGC